rnacentral:rRNA from 1 species
CGUAGGGUGCAAGCGUUAAUCGGAAUUACUGGGCGUAAAGCGUGCGCAGGCGGUUCUAUAAGACAGAUGUGAAAUCCCCGGGCUCAACCUGGGAACUGCAUUUGUGACUGUAGAGCUGGAGUACGGUAGAGGGGGAUGGAAUUCCGCGUGUAGCAGUGAAAUGCGUAGAUAUGCGGAGGAACACCGAUGGCGAAGGCAAUCCCCUGGACCUGUACUGACGCUCAUGCACGGAAGCGUGGGGAGCAAACAGGAUUAGAUACCCUGGUAGUCCACGCCCUAAACGAUGUCAACUGGUUGUUGGGAAGGUUCCUUCUCAGUAACGUAGCUAACGCGUGAAGUUGACCGCCUGGGGAGUACGACCGCAAGGUUG